ensembl:lncRNA
AAGAAAGAGGGGAAAGUGCUCAUGUGACUCCCCGUGCCGUGAAACCGGGGCCCCUCGGGGCCACGUUCGGUAGAGAUGACACGAUUUACCGGGACAAAAGUCAUCCUAAAUCGGCGCUUUAGUUUUUGUGAAAACGCCAGGGAUUUGUCUGCCUGAUCCAAACAUACAGCAUUAGGGAGGAGGGGGGAUCAAACGCACACGCACGCGCUCUCAGGAUGGAGAGUUUGACCUCGUGCCACAAUUUCAUCCCAAACACAGCUUCUUCUUCUUCUUCUUCUUCUUCUUCUUUCUGCACCAAAGCGACGCGGGCGGAUCGACCAGGAGCGUCCAGGCUAUCCAGAGGUCCGAGUUAUGGAACUUCACCAUGGCUCCUUCAACCGGUCCUCCGCUUCGGCCCGACGGAACCACGAUCUCAGCUCGGCUCACGGUUCCCCGGGCGACAAGUAACAGGUCCUCCCGGUGCCGGGAGACAUGGGCGCAGCCCGCCGCGGGGUCUCUUUACGCGCCGCGCGCCGGCGACGCUUCCCGAAAGACGGGGUGAAACGUUCCGAGUGAGGGGUGGAGUGAAACCGGAGGGAUCGAUUAUACUCAGCCAGGGAUCAGCCAGAGGUGGUGCGCCUGUGCGGCAUGACCGCGCUCACCAGCGGAUGAUUAAGACGGACCUGACUGUUGCUAGGAGACCGCUGACGCCAGACGUGCACGAGAGAAAGAGAGAGAGAGAGAGAGAGAGCACAAGGGGGGAGGAGGGGGGGGGGAGACAUUCAUGCCCCCCUGCGGUGCGACUCCACAACGACCGACGGAUUCGAAUUAUUUAUAGGGACGUGGUUUACGCAGAUACGUGGAUACAUUUGAACAUUGGGCUGCAAUAGUGAAUCAAUGGAAUAAUAGAAUUAGACACAAGGCUGCAGAGUGCUGCUCUGCGCAGAAUUGCAAAAAAAAAAGUAUUUUCUGCCUUCAUACUGGACUUUGAUGAUCAGUCCUUUGCAUAAUCUGCAGUGUGCACAUCAGGGCGGUAACGCUUUGUAACUGUGCCCCUUUUAUCUCAAUGAAUGAAGUCAUUGCAUGUGAUUGUGUAGCAUGUACUACACAUUUUUGCCGCAUAGGUGAUAGUUGAGAAAACCAUCUAGAGAUCAAAAGGUACAGAUUUAUCUUCCUCCAACCUGUUUUUUCAGACAAAGCGAAAUGAAAAGACGCGAUUGGGGCCGUGCCCCAAAUCCCUGCCUUCAUCGUUUGGCCCUGCAGAUGUUAACAGAUGUUAAUAAUUGUUUGGCCUUAAAUUGAGCUGAAGUUGGAUGAUCUUAAGGCUGCUUGCUUUUGUUGGAUUUUAUAGAAUAUGUUGCCUUUGUUUCUCGUUAUUUUUGGUUGAACAAAACGCUGGCUUUCCAAAUGUCUGUUUCAUUUGGCUUUUACGUUCCACCUUCUCAUUAAAGCUGUAAUAAAAAAAUAUUUGUAUUUUAUACAUGCUGCUUUUUUAGAUAUUCUCCCGAUUAAUCGUUUUGUUUAUAAAACAAACAUUCUCAAAAAGCCCAUCAAAACAUUCAGCACCAAAAGCAACAGCUUUAUUUGACAUGUUGUCCAAAACCCAAAUAAAUCAAUUUCCUGUCCCACCCGCCUGGCAGCUGCGCUGAGGGCCGGAGAGGGCUGCUGAUGGUGCUGCUGAUGGUGCCAUGUGGGCGGGCACAGUGGCGUCCGUCUCCAUGGCAGACUUCGGCCUUUGGAGGGAAAUGUGCUCACCCUCUCGGAUGGAGGACGUCUGUCUGGGACUUUGGUGUCUUCAGCGUUUAACUUAGUGUUCUAAGUCGAGUUAACGUGUAGUUAGUGCAGAAAGUGUUUACUUCCGACUUUAUUUUGGUAAUGAAUACUAAUUGUUUAUGGAUUUCCCUUCCUUUUUCUCUCUCUCUCUGCGUCUUCAACGUCACGCCACCUUCAACAGCGUGACGCUUUUUAAUGUGGGAUGAUAUCGGCUGUUUCCUUUUGCCUGAAGCUGAAUGAACGAUGGCCUUUGUGUUUGUACGAAGAGUGAAAAAUGUGUCCUUCCGAAAAUAGACACUUUGAAUCUCAUAAAUGUAAGAAAACACUGUUGUAAAUCAUCCACUAAUGUCUCCCUUCAAUAUUCCCUAAAAUGAAAUAAAGGUUGAAACAUGAUGGAUGGGCUAACUUGGGUUUCCCCUCAGCAAGCAGUCCAAGAAAGAUGCACGCUUGAUUUAUUAUUGAUUCCUUUCUGGAACUGCGUCUUUUUUUUUUCUGCACCCCCAUAAAAGAUUCAAAAGAGCAGAAAGAGAUCUUCAGUGCUAAAUGCUGUUAUUCUCUUCACCUGUCCGUCCUGGCCGGAGCUCAUUGCUCUCAGGUACCCGGGUUAUGCUUUGUUUGGACACUAAAACCACGUUUAUGCUGUAUUUACUCGAGCACUGCACUUUAAACUGCUUAUACCUCCAUUGAUAAUAACUUCAGAGAGAAAUAUUGAACUGUCACUGCUCUUUUCAUACAAUGCAAAUGUAUUUACUCCUUCAACCUGAGGCAAUAAAGUGUAUCAACACUUCAAAGGGGCAGUCUUCAUUAUCAGAAGUCUAUUUAACUUGAUACUUUAAGUUGAGUUGAAUUGAAGAGCUAUUUAAAAGAACUGCAGUGAACUCAAUUCUUGGAUAUGAAAAAUGAUUGUUCAAACUGAUUAAAAAACAUUCAAAUUGCAAAAUAACCACGCCUGUAUAUUUUUUUUGUGGUCUGUAAAUGGGAUUUUUUUCAAAUAAAACUUCUUUGACGUUUGACCUCGAAAAGAGGGAU